UUGUACGCUUCACCUCUCCUCUUUGUAUGAGCUUCAAGUGUAUCGAUUACAGCGUAGUAACACGCUGUUAAAGAGGAGCCACCACGCCCACCACUGAAAUGCAGCCACCUCUGGGCUGGAACAUGGCAGAUGCGUAACUGUGCAGAGCAGCAUUCCACACCAGUUUAGGAUAAGGGAACUCGAAAGGAUCGGCACUACAAAGCCAGAGCAAGACCCCGCGGCUCCCCCGGCGCCCCCUCCGCCUCUGGGCCAGGCAGUGCGAUGGCUUGUCGCUGGCCGCAGCGCACACUCAAUUCCUCCUCUGCAGCCAGGGCUGA